GGCCCGCUAGCUCAAUCGCGGAGAGCGGCGGUCUUAUACACCGCAGGUUCGGGGUUCAAAUCCCCGGCGGGCUA
rnacentral:tRNA from 1 species